CUGAAGAAGAAAUUGGAGCUGCCAGUGGAUUUUUCCUCCCCUUGUGAGUGGGAGAAUAAUCAGAGAGACCACAAAUGGAUUCAAUUCAAUAAUUCACUCCACAAGACUUUAUUAAGCACCUAUUGUGUACGGAGCAUUUGGCUUAGGGUAAAGGUAGAUGGACAUUCCUGAUACUCCAAGGGACAUGUGAACAUGAACCACAGCUAACUCUCAUAUAAAAUAACACAAAAGAAGGCAGAAGAGAGGUUUUCUCAAAGAGAGAUACACCUGGGCUAAUUUUGUCCAUGAAUCAUGUAAAAUCCCUCCUGGCUUAGGAGCAGUUGGACCAUAAAUGGCUUCCCCGAGGAUUAAUGAGCAGAGCUCAGUGCACCUUUGUUGGUGUCCUGUGCCCUCCCCUUCAGACCAGAUGGCCCCGAGCGAAUUGAAGGAAAGCCAACACAACCGCGGCAUCAUCCAUUCCUGAAGCAGGAGCCUUGCCUGCCUUUUGUAACAUGCUGUUUCUUUGGUUAAAAAUAGACCUGGAUGAAUAACUGCUGGUGAGCUAAGUGCUAAUUCUGGACAAGAAAAAUUCUCAUAGAUCGGAGGGCUUCUCCCAGGGGAGAGAACAGCGGAAUGAACUGGGGCAGCGUGAAAUUCCCACCGACAUUGUGCUUACAAGAUGCUCAAGGAGGAGAAUGCAGCACUGUAUCUUAUGGUACCCAGGGUGAUGCUGAGCCAGCAUGGAUUAUGUCUGCCUCUGCCUCUGUGGCUGUAUCAUCUUAAAUAAUGGGACCCCUGGGAGCACAUGGAGAUAAAUGAAUACCAGGAAGUUUGUAGCAAUUAGGAAGGGUUCUGACCAUGCUACUAAGGAUGAUGGUCUUUUCUAGCUACGGUGGCUAUUCCAUAGUGAGGUGGGAAGUACGCUGCCCUGGAGAUCAGAGCACCUGCGUGAAUCCUGACUGUCUCUGACUAGCUGUGUGACUUUGGGCAAUGCCUUGAUGUCUCUGGGUCUCACUUCCCUUAUCUGUAAAAUUAGGGGCUCAGAUGAGAUGAUUUCUCAAGUCUCUACUAGCUUUAGUUUAUAUUCCUACAAACCCUCUUUUAAACUCUAAAUGUUGGUAGGAGGGUUAACUAGUAAAUUAAUUUAUCCUGCAGUGUUCUUGGUGGAGAACAACAAUAAUAGUUUAUGUAUAAGACAAAAUGCAGAUAAUCAAUAAAAGGAAGGCACUAGAAUUAAGAUCA
rnacentral:lncRNA from 1 species